AGUGUGGGAAUCCCUUGGCUGAAUGGGUGGGUGGGGAGGGUGAAGAGGCCAGAGGACUUAGCAACACCGGGCCCUAAGCCUGUCCUUAGCCUGCACCUGCUUCCAUGCUGGGCUGUCCCUGGACCAUCCCAAGGUUGGGCAGCCUUGGGGGAGGCAGGAUGAGGUGGGAAUAGGAGGUGGGGGAUUCUGGUUUCUGUUCCCCCUGGCACUGGUUUUGACAGAUCUAACUGGAACCUCUCCUUCUGGGCCCAGGGCUGCCUCCUGUCCUGCCAGGACUGGCCCUAGGAGGGACACAGCCUCCUGUGUGCUGCAGCAGCCAUGGGGUCCACCAGUCAGCCUGGCCUGCCCCUGUGCAAGGGCACCAAGACCCUUUAGAAGUCCCAGCGCCUCUCCUCCCCUCUCCCAGAGCAUCAGCUGUUGUGUCUCCAGAUGCCCAGGAAGUGGCUCCGCCAACCUGCACGUGGCCCUGCAGCCACCGGGGACCCUGUCCUCAGCUCCACCCUGGCAGGCCAGGCAGGCCGCUGUUUGGGGACACCAGCAGGGAGCUGUGUCUGGCUGCAGGCCCUCUGCGGAGCCCCCUCCAUGGCUGUGGGCGGCCGACUCUCACCACCUCUUCCCUGCAGUCACACUUCGCUUUUCUAUGGCACAUUUCCUGUAGAAGCAGUCCCACCUGGCCCUGCAGUCCUGCUGGGUGGCAGCUGCAGUGACAGGAGGGAGGGCCCCAGGGAAAGGGCUCCUUAGCUCCACUCCCAG
rnacentral:lncRNA from 1 species